rfam:Drosophila simulans chromosome 3R, whole genome shotgun sequence.
CAACAACCGCAUGCAAAUGCUCGGCCAAUUGUUUGAUGAAUUGCGGCCAGAAGUCAAGGGUUCAUUGCCAGGAUUAGUAGGUAGU